rnacentral:rRNA from 1 species
CUCGAUGUCGGCUCAUCGCAUCCUGGGGCUGGAGAAGGUCCCAAGGGUUUGGCUGUUCGCCAAUUAAAGCGGUACGUGAGCUGGGUUUAGAACGUCGUGAGACAGUUCGGUCCCUAUCUGUUGUGGGCGUAGGAUACUUGCGGGACUCUGCUCUUAGUACGAGAGGACCGGAGUGGACAGACCUCUGGUGCACCAGUUGUCUUGCCAAGGGCAUAGCUGGGUAGCCAAGUCUGGUGCGGAUAAGCGCUGAAAGCAUCUAAGCGCGAAACCCUGCCCAAGAUGAAGUAUCCCCUCGAGCACUAAUUUUAGUGCUUGGCUGAAGGCUCCUUCGAGACCAGGAGGUCGAUAGGCUGCAGGUGUAAGUCCAGCAAUGGAUUGAGCCGAGCAGUACUAAUAAGCCGUGCGUCUUGAUCUACA